UACGUAGGGGGCGAGCGUUGUCCGGAAUCAUUGGGCGUAAAGCGCGUGUAGGCGGCCCGGUAAGUCCGCUGUGAAAGUCCAGGGCUCAACCCUGGGAUGCCGGUGGAUACUGUCGGGCUCGAGUCCGGAAGAGGCGAGUGGAAUUCCUGGUGUAGCGGUGAAAUGCGCAGAUAAUCAGGAGGAACACCAAUGGCGAAGGGCAGCUCGCUGGGACGUGACUGACGCUGAGACGCGAAAGCGUGGGGAGCAAACAGG
rnacentral:rRNA from 1 species